rnacentral:rRNA from 1 species
ACACUCCUACGGGAGGCAGCAGUGGGGAAUUUUGGACAAUGGGCGAAAGCCUGAUCCAGCAAUGCCGCGUGAGUGAAGAAGGCCUUCGGGUUGUAAAGCUCUUUUGUCAGGGAAGAAACGGUGAGAGCUAAUAUCUCUUGCUAAUGACGGUACCUGAAGAAUAAGCACCGGCUAACUACGUGCCAGCAGCCGCGGUAAUACGUAGGGUGCAAGCGUUAAUCGGAAUUACUGGGCGUAAAGCGUGCGCAGGCGGUUUUGUAAGUCUGAUGUGAAAUCCCCGGGCUCAACCUGGGAAUUGCAUUGGAGACUGCAAGGCUAGAAUCUGGCAGAGGGGGGUAGAAUUCCACGUGUAGCAGUGAAAUGCGUAGAUAUGUGGAGGAACACCGAUGGCGAAGGCAGCCCCCUGGGUCAAGAUUGACGCUCAUGCACGAAAGCGUGGGGAGCAAACAGGAUUAGAUACCCGAGUAGUCCCAUGAU